UGGGGAAUAUUGGACAAUGGGCGAAAGCCUGAUCCAGCCAUGCCGCGUGCAGGAAGAAGCAUCUAUGGUGUGUAAACUGCUUUUGUACGGGAAGAAACACUCCUACGUGUAGGAGCUUGACGGUACCGUAAGAAUAAGGAUCGGCUAACUCCGUGCCAGCAGCCGCGGUAAUACGGAGGAUCCAAGCGUUAUCCGGAAUCAUUGGGUUUAAAGGGUCCGUAGGCGGUUGAAUAAGUCAGUGGCGAAAGCCCAUCGCUCAACGGUGGAACGGCCAUUGAUACUGUUAGACUUGAAUUACAAGGAAGUAACUAGAAUAUGUAGUGUAGCGGUGAAAUGCUUAGAUAUUACAUGGAAUACCAAUUGCGAAGGCAGGUUACUACUUGUGGAUUGACGCUGAUGGACGAAAGCGUGGGGAGCGAAC
rnacentral:rRNA from 1 species